rfam:Schistosoma rodhaini strain Burundi genome assembly, scaffold: SROB_contig0000523
CCAAUAACUCCGCCUGUAGCUCCUCUGAGGGUUGCUGCCGGUCCCAAGCCCGGGUAAAGGAGGAGGGUUGG